rnacentral:lncRNA from 10 species
UUUUUUGUUUGUUUUUUGCAGCUAUUGUAAAAGGGGUUGAGUUCUUGAUGUGAUUCUCAGCUUGGUAGCUGUUGAUGUAUAGAAGAGCUACUGAUUUGUGUACAUUAAUCUCGUAUCUGGAAACUUUGCUGAAUUCUUUUAUCAGUUCUAGGAGCUUUCUAGAGGAGUCCGUAGGGUUUUCAAGGCGAAAGAUCAUAUCGUCAGCAACCAGUAACAGUUUGACUUCCUCUUCACCGAUUUGGAUUUCCUCUAUUUCCUUCUUUUGUCUGAUUGCUCUGGCUAGGACCUCCAGUACUAUGUUGAAAAGGAGUGGUGAGAGUAGGCUCUUCGUCUUGUUCCAGUUCUCAAAGGGAAUGCUUUCACCUUUUCCCCAUUCAGUAUUAUGUUGGCUGUGGGUCUGUCAUAGAUGGCUUUUAUUACAUUAAGACUCAGCUUUGCACUCCAGGGCUGCGUACCACCAGCCACUGUCAUGUUAACCCCUUCCCAGGCCAAUGUGUCCUUGGCCUGGAGCCCAAUCUGCUGGACAGCCUGGGACCGUCCAUUUUCGGGGUGGUGGGCAACCUGGUGGCCAUCGUGGUGCUGUGCAAGUCGCGCAAGGAGCAGAAGGAGACCACCUUCUAUACAGUUAUGCGGCUGGCUGCCACCGACCUGUUGUUCACUUUGCUGGUGAGCCAGGUGACCAUCGCCAUGUACAUGAAGGGCGGGUAACCUGGGGGCCAGCUGCUGUGUGAGUACAGCAUCUUCAGCCUGUUCUUCUUCAGUCAGUCCGGCCUCAGCAUCGUCUGUGCCAUG